AGCCUCCCUCAGGGUCGCACCUGGAGAGUUUCCAGUACUCUACCAGUCUCAGCUAUGGGAGGGAGAGUCAAGCAGAGGCCUACCCAUUCCAUUUCUAGCUUGGCCAGUGGCUAGCGAGUGGAAAGCAAUCUGCUACAAAU
rfam:Ornithorhynchus anatinus chromosome 1, whole genome shotgun sequence.